CGGCCUACGGGGCGCAGCAGUGAGGAAUAUUGGUCAAUGGACGCAAGUCUGAACCAGCCAUGCCGCGUGCAGGAUGACGGCUCUAUGAGUUGUAAACUGCUUUUGUACGAGGGAAAACCCCGAUACGUGUAUCGGGUUGAAAGUAUCGUACGAAUAAGGAACGGCUAACUCCGUGCCAGCAGCCGCGGUAAUACGGAGGAUCCGAGCGUUAUCCGGAUUUAUUGGGUUUAAAGGGAGCGUAGGCGGAUUGGUAAGUUAGAGGUGAAAUGUCGGGGCUCAAGCCCGAAAAUGCCUCUAAU
rnacentral:rRNA from 1 species